GGUGUUGUGGUGUAGUUGGUUAUCACGUCAGUCUAACACACUGAAGGUUUCAGUCUCCAGUUCAAGUCUGGGCGAUGCCA